rnacentral:rRNA from 1 species
GACGAACGCUGGCGGCGUGCCUAAUACAUGCAAGUCGAACGAGAGCGCCCGGUGCUUGCACUGGUCAAUCUAGUGGCGAACGGGUGAGUAACACGUGGGUAACCUGCCCAUCAGAGGGGGAUAACAUCCGGAAACGGAUGCUAAAACCGCAUAGGUCUUCGAGCCGCAUGGCUUGAAGAGGAAAAGAGGCGCAAGCUUCUGCUGAUGGAUGGACCCGCGGUGCAUUAGCUAGUUGGUGAGGUAACGGCUCACCAAGGCCGUGAUGCAUAGCCGACCUGAGAGGGUGAUCGGCCACAUUGGAACUGAGACACGGCCCAAACUCCUACGGGAGGCAGCAGUAGGGAAUCUUCCGCAAUGGACGCAAGCCUGACGGAGCAACGCCGCGUGAGUGAAGAAGGUUUUCGGAUCGUAAAACUCUGUUGUUAGAGAAGAACAAGUGCGAGAGUAACUGUUAGCGCCUUGACGGUAUCUAACCAGAAAGCCACGGCUAACUACGUG